rnacentral:rRNA from 1 species
CCUACGGGAGGCAGCAGUGAGGAAUAUUGGUCAAUGGACGAGAGUCUGAACCAGCCAAGUAGCGUGAAGGAUGACUGCCCUAUGGGUUGUAAACUUCUUUUAUAUGGGAAUAAAAUGUUCCACGUGUGGGAUUUUGUAUGUACCAUAUGAAUAAGGAUCGACUAACUCCGUUCCAGCAGCCGCGGUAAUACGGAGGAUCCGAGCGUUAUCCGGAUUUAUUGGGUUUAAAGGGAGCGUAGGUGGAUUGUUAAGUCAGUUGUGAAAGUUUGCGGCUCAACCGUAAAAUUGCAGUUGAAACUGGCAGUCUUGAGUACAGUAGAGGUGGGCGGAAUGCGUGGUGUAGCGGUGAAAUGCUUAGAUAUCACGAAGAACUCCGAUUGCGAAGGCAGUUCACUGGACUGCAACUGACACUGAGGCUCGAAAGUGUGGGUAUCAAACAGGAUUAGAUACCCCUGUAGUC